GAUGAACGCUGGCGGCGUGCCUAAUACAUGCAAGUCGAGCGAACGGACGAGAAGCUUGCUUCUCUGAUGUUAGCGGCGGACGGGUGAGUAACACGUGGAUAACCUACCUAUAAGACUGGGAUAACUUCGGGAAACCGGAGCUAAUACCGGAUAAUAUUUUGAACCGCAUGGUUCAAAAGUGAAAGACGGUCUUGCUGUCACUUAUAGAUGGAUCCGCGCUGCAUUAGCUAGUUGGUAAGGUAACGGCUUACCAAGGCAACGAUGCAUAGCCGACCUGAGAGGGUGAUCGGCCACACUGGAACUGAGACACGGUCCAGACUCCUACGGGAGGCAGCAGUAGGGAAUCUUCCGCAAUGGGCGAAAGCCUGACGGAGCAACGCCGCGUGAGUGAUGAAGGUCUUCGGAUCGUAAAACUCUGUUAUUAGGGAAGAACAUAUGUGUAAGUAACUGUGCACAUCUUGACGGUACCUAAUCAGAAAGCCACGGCUAACUACGUGCCAGCAGCCGCGGUAAUACGUAGGUGGCAAGCGUUAUCCGGAAUUAUUGGGCGUAAAGCGCGCGUAGGCGGUUUUUUAAGUCUGAUGUGAAAGCCCACGGCUCAACCGUGGAGGGUCAUUGGAAACUGGAAAACUUGAGUGCAGAAGAGGAAAGUGGAAUUCCAUGUGUAGCGGCGAAAUGCGCAGAGAUAUGGAGGAACACCAGUGGCGAAGGCGACUUUCUGGUCUGUAACUGACGCUGAUGUGCGAAAGCGUGGGGAUCAAACAGGAUUAGAUACCCUGGUAGUCCACGCCGUAAACGAUGAGUGCUGAGUGUUAGGGGGUUUCCGCCCCUUAGUGCUGCAGCUAACGCAUUAAGCACUCCGCCUGGGGAGUACGACCGCAAGGUUGAAACUCAAAGGAAUUGACGGGGACCCGCACAAGCGGUGGAGCAUGUGGUUUAAUUCGAAGCAACGCGAAGAACCUUACCAAAUCUUGACAUCCUUUGACAACUCUAGAGAUAGAGCCUUCCCCUUCGGGGGACAAAGUGACAGGUGGUGCAUGGUUGUCGUCAGCUCGUGUCGUGAGAUGUUGGGUUAAGUCCCGCAACGAGCGCAACCCUUAAGCUUAGUUGCCAUCAUUAAGUUGGGCACUCUAAGUUGACUGCCGGUGACAAACCGGAGGAAGGUGGGGAUGACGUCAAAUCAUCAUGCCCCUUAUGAUUUGGGCUACACACGUGCUACAAUGGACAAUACAAAGGGCAGCGAAACCGCGAGGUCAAGCAAAUCCCAUAAAGUUGUUCUCAGUUCGGAUUGUAGUCUGCAACUCGACUACAUGAAGCUGGAAUCGCUAGUAAUCGUAGAUCAGCAUGCUACGGUGAAUACGUUCCCGGGUCU
rnacentral:rRNA from 1 species